rnacentral:lncRNA from 1 species
UGCUGCCCCAGGAGGGGAGCACUGCUCACCCAGCCCAGCUGGGACCCAGCGCAUGGAAGAAGCCAGCAGGGACUGGCGGAUGAUCCAUGGAGUCCCAGGGCAGACUCUAGCUCAGCUGGGGAAUCCUGCAGUCAAGUCUGGACUGAGCAGUUUGCAUUUAAAAGACCUUGUUUUCCCCAGAACCUAAGGCUCAGGGAAACAGACUGGAUUGAACACCUAGGUUUCUCACCAGCUGUGCCAGCGUGGAGAUGUGGAGCUCCGGUUGGCCACCCUGCAGGAGGUUUUGGCCUCAGGAAGAAGAGAAUGCUCUCGCCUUCGUCUGGACCUGUAAGCCUUGCUUCAGAGGCUACCUUCUCACAGACCCUCCCAGAUCCCCACUGCAUGGGCACUGAGAGUUUGCACCUGUCUCAUAAGGUGCUUUUUAACAGAUUCCUGUUGCACUACAUUGUUGCAAGUUUCCUAGCACCUAUAGAAUUUCCCAGGAGUACAUGCUAAAUGAUUUGGGCAAAUGACUUUCAGACGACUGGGGCUCAGCCUAGCGAAAGAACCCUGCAGUGCACUGAGAAGCGUCUUCAGACUUCAAGGAGAUUAUUUAAAUUUGCCUAAAGCUCUCAAAGUGCUCCUUGAAAGUUCUGCUAAACAAAGAACCAAACCAAGAAAAACCUCUAGGGAAUAAAUGUUGCUAAAAUGGUAGUAAGAUGCAUUUGUAUGAGCAGGAAUUUGAAUAUUAAAUGUUGAAAAGAAAGACAUUUAUUAAUUGGAGAUAAACUCCUGACAACCACUUGAAAUGUAAAUGUGGGACAUGAUCAUAAUGCAGAGAUAUUAAGUUCUCCCUUAGAAAAGUAUUUUUAAAACUUCAUUAGAAAAACAAAACAAAACUUAAUUAGGUUGUAUUUGCCAAAGGUUGCCCAGUCCUCGUGGAGAAGACAGGGCAUCUUUCACGAUACCCAGUGAGCUGGCGCUUGUUGCCCAUGGGUUAUGAGGAGGUCUGUGAUGAGACCUGGAUUAAAAGUGGACACUGGUG